CUGAGCAAAGGAAAUGUUAGGCCGUAAAAUAUUCCUGGCAGCAUGUUCUUUUCUCUGAU
rnacentral:pre_miRNA from 2 species